rnacentral:rRNA from 1 species
UCGAUGAAGAACGCAGCGAAAUGCGAUAAGUAAUGUGAAUUGCAGAAUUCAGUGAAUCAUCGAAUCUUUGAACGCACAUUGCGCCCGCAGUAUUCUGGCGGGCAUGCCUGUCUGAGCGUCAUUUCAACCCUCCCUAGGGCGUGGUGUUGGGGAUCGGCCAAAGCCCGCGAGGGACGGCCGGCCCCUAAAUCUAGUGGCGGACCCGUCGUGGCCUCCUCUGCGAAGUAGUGAUAUUCCGCAUCGGAGACGACGAGCCCCUGCCGCCAACUUUCCAAGGUUGACCUCAGAUCAGGUAGGAAUACCCGCUGAACUUAAGCAUAUCAAUAAGCGGAGGA